AUACUUACCUGGCGUAGGGAAUUCCGUGAUCAUGCAGGCGGUUCCCCCACGGCGAGGCUACUCCAUUGCGGAGUUGUUGACCCUUGCGAUUAUUUUUAUUUUUAUCAAUAAAAACAUCACAAUAUAAAAAUAUACCUGAAUAAUUAUUUUCUUUAAAC